AUUGGGUCUGUGUAUUUGUGUGCGUGGUUAAGAGAGAGAAAGGAGAAGAAAAUAGUUCUUCAUCUUACAUCAAUAAAAUUCAACAAUUGGUAAGAAGAAAAUGGAUGGAUCAUAUGCAUGAACCCUAAAGAUUGAUCAGCUAAGAUUUUGCAACAAAAGGAAUAAAGGAAGAAGGGUCGAGCCACACGAAGCAACAAGGAGCCCAAGACCAAGGUAAAACCGCACUUUGAGCGGACUCGCGAUGCUUGGAACGAACACACGCGCAAGCUUCCUUCUUGCCCUUAAUGCGCUUCCGAAAUAGCUUAUGUUAUGGGUCAAAACGUUUGGUUGUCUAUACAGUUAAAAUCUAGUGGUUAAUUAUGUUCCAAAUCAUGUACUUUAUAAUUUUUGUGAAAUGGUAAACGGUUAAAUCUGGCUUUAAGAACUUAGCUUUGUAUAUUUUGAUCAAAUAUUAAGUAAAGUUUAAAAGUUCAAAAUUAGUCAUAAAUUUCGUUGUUUAACAUUUGGUUUUGACCGCUUGAAAGAUUUGGGCGUUACAAGUUGGUAUCAGAGCCGAGGUUUGAGGGACUCAAGUGCGUGUUAAAGUGCUUGAACUCAAACCAAAGGCUCGCGCGAUGGGUGUGUUCGCUCUAAGACGCAAAGGUGGUAAGUAUCUAAUAAUUUCGAUAAUUAUGGUUUUGACGUGUAAUGUUACGGGAUGGUUUUUGGAAGUUUAACAGUAUAAAAAUAAGAACGAGAAUGUUUUUGGAAGUUUCGGGGCAAGUUCGGUCGAAAGGGGGAUCGAAAACGGGUUAAAAGGGGCUGAAACAAAAAAAAAA